rnacentral:rRNA from 1 species
ACGGGGGGAGCAAACGUUGUUCGGAAUCACUGGGCGUAAAGGGCGCGUAGGCGGCCAGGUAAGUGGAGUGUUAAAUCUCCCGGCUCAACCGGGAACCUGCACUUCAUACUGCUUGGCUUGAGUAUAGGAGAGGAGACUGGAAUUCCCGGUGUAGUGGUGAAAUGCGUAGAUAUCGGGAGGAACACCAGUGGCGAAGGCGACUUCCUGGCCUGUUCUUGACGCUGAGGCGCGAAAGCUAGGGGAGCAAACAGGA